UAGUGGCGAACGGGUGAGUAACACGUGGGCAAUCUGCCCUGCACUCUGGGACAAGCCCUGGAAACGGGGUCUAAUACCGGAUAACACUGUCCCCCUCCUGGGGGACGGUUGAAAGCUCCGGCGGUGCAGGAUGAGCCCGCGGCCUAUCAGCUUGUUGGUGGGGUAAUGGCCUACCAAGGCGACGACGGGUAGCCGGCCUGAGAGGGCGACCGGCCACACUGGGACUGAGACACGGCCCAGACUCCUACGGGAGGCAGCAGUGGGGAAUAUUGCACAAUGGGCGAAAGCCUGAUGCAGCGACGCCGCGUGAGGGAUGACGGCCUUCGGGUUGUAAACCUCUUUCAGCAGGGAAGAAGCGAAAGUGACGGUACCUGCAGAAGAAGCGCCGGCUAACUACGUGCCAGCAGCCGCGGUAAUACGUAGGGCCGCAAGCGUUGUCCGGNAUUUAUUUGGGCGUAAAGAGCUCGUAGGCGGNCCUGUCACGUCGGGGNGUGAA
rnacentral:rRNA from 1 species